GUUUAUGUAGCUUAAUAUACCCAAAGCAAGACACUGAAAAUGUCUAGACGGACCUACAAACCCCAUAAACA
ensembl:Mt_tRNA